CACACCCUUGGUUCUGCUGGGUAACAACCAGCUGUGCUCAUGCUGGAUUUAACGGGUUCCCUGUGUGUGGCCCAAUUAUCAUAUUUCCAUGAUGUUUAAUGGGGUCAGUCAUUUGCCUGAGGGUGUGAGGAAAAUCAUAUUAGGGCAUGAAGAUGCUGCAGUCACAGUGUCCUCUACUGCGUUGUGAAAUAUGAUACAACAGUUUGAACAUAUGCAUUUAUUCGUAUAUGCUACAUGUCCUCUACUUUUGGAAUUCGUACCAUGUGUUAUGUGGCUAUUGUAGGUUUGGUGUUUAGAAGAGGAAAACGAAUCUCUGGAGGCUGGAGUCAGAGCAGAUCUCCACCAGCACCAUCAGCAUCAGCUGUCCUGUGGACUACAGUCUGGAGUCUGUGUUAGAAAGACUGCGGAAAGAGAAAGAACCACUCAGAAACUCUGGCCUGGGUGGUGCUGCACAUUUAUGCCUCACUUGAUAAAAUGAGGAGAUUUUAUGCAACACAGAGGAGCUAAAGGGUGAACUGCGGCGUCUGCAGAUGAAAUACGAUCGAUCAGGUGGUUGAGCACAAGAGACUCAUCCAGCAAGAACCAGAAGAUGAUUCUGUGGAGUUGGAAGCAUUUACCCCUGACUGCCUGGCCCUGCAAGAGCAAGUGGCCAUAUAUAAAGAGCAGCUGGCUGCCAUGAAACGAGGAUGGAGAAAUUAUGUGAGCCCAGGACUCCGGAUGGAGGUUCUCCUACUGUAUCCCUGCAGUUCUCCUCCUUUGAUAUCACUCCAUUCAUCAUGAACAUCAAAGAGUACUACAGCAAACUGGUGAUUUACACACAGAUAGAGACAUCGACUCUGACACCUCAAUGACUGUU